rnacentral:lncRNA from 1 species
CACAAACCAACCUUUCCAAAAUUCCUCAUCCCCAGCCAGAUGCAAAAAGAUAUACUUCAAACCUUUUAUGCUUGAACAUUCAUGUUCCUGAAACAAAAACAAAAGAACUAGAAGGUGCCAAAGAAAAUUGUAAAAAAAAAAUUUAUAACAAAGGGAGUGAAAAUUCAAGAAAAAAAGGACCCCCACAAACCAACCUUUCCAAAAUUCCUCAUUCCCGGCCAGAUGCAAAAAGAUAUACUUCGAACCUUUUAUGCUUGAACAUUCAUGCUCUUGAAACAAAAACAAAAGAACUAGAAGGUGCCAGGACAUAGCAUCGAAAGGGAAAUAUAUCCCCACUCCCAAUACAAAUAUAGGUAUGUAAAAAAUAUACAGGUGUUUUUAUCCUAAAGUUGAACGAAUAGUAUAUUAACCUCUGCUUGCCACUGGCUAGAGCACACCACACACAUUCAGAGCUGUCUCCCUGUAACACAGAAAAUCAAGAAAUUCAAAUGAACUGAGGAGACUAAAAAGUGAAAUCUUUUUUAACAUAGAUGAUAAAAUUAAAGUAUCGAUCACAGCCUGCAGAAUAUGAUGCUUCAUUGGAACAAAUUCCCAUCCUUGUAGUCAAUAUGAAAUGUCACAAUUUAAGCUUCCACCUAAUACCAUAGGACUUACAGCAGCAACAAGUAGCUUUACACUUGGAGGUGUACGUGUGUCGGGUUUGGCCUAAUGUACUAUCCAACCCAAUCAAAUUCCACCGGACCUAUAUAACUUUCAGAAACAGAAUUUGUGAAU